GGUGGGAUAGCUCAGUUGGGAAGAUCUGAGCUUGGCCCCCUUUCGGUUUCAUCCGAAAGGUCGUGGGUUCGAAUCCCGCUCCCCCCC
rfam:Neurospora crassa OR74A linkage group V, whole genome shotgun sequence.